GACGAACCGUGCGAACGUUGUUCGGAAUCACUGGGUUUAAAGGGCGCGUAGGCGGGCUGUCAAGUCGGUGGUGAAAUCUUUCGGCUCAACCGGAAAAUUGCCUUCGAUACUGGCGGCCUGGAGGGAGGUAGGGCAUGCGGAACUUCCGGUGGAGCGGUGAAUGCGUAGAUAUCGGAAGGAACACCGAUGGCGAAAGCAGCGUGCUGGACCUUUCUGACGCUGAGGCGCGAAAGCCAGGGGAGCAAACGGG
rnacentral:rRNA from 1 species